CCGGGAGGCUGCAGUGAGGAAUAUUGGUCAAUGGGCGUAAGCCUGAACCAGCCAAGUCGCGUGAGGGAUGAAGGUUCUAUGGAUCGUAAACCUCUUUUAUAAGGGAGUAAAGUGUGGGACGUGUCCUAUUGUGUAUGUACCUUAUGAAUAAGGAUCGGCUAACUCCGUGCCAGCAGCCGCGGUAAUACGGAGGAUCCGAGCGUUAUCCGGAUUUAUUGGGUUUAAAGGGUGCGUAGGCGGCCUUUUAAGUCAGCGGGGAAAGUCUGUGGUUCAACCAUAGAAUGGCCGUUGAAACUGGGGGGCUUGAGUAUGUUUGAGGCAGGCGGAAUGCGUGGUGUAGCGGUGAAAUGCUUAGAUAUCACGCAGAACCCCGAUUGCGAAGGCAGCCUGCCAAGACAUGACUGACGCUGAUGCACGAAAGCGUGGGGAUCAAACAGGAUUAGAUACCCCGGUAGUC
rnacentral:rRNA from 1 species